GACGAACGCUGGCGGCGUGCCUAAUACAUGCAAGUCGAGCGAAUCUUUAGAAGCUUGCUUCUGAAGAUUAGCGGCGGACGGGUGAGUAACACGUGGGCAACCUGCCUGUAAGACUGGGAUAACUUCGGGAAACCGGAGCUAAUACCGGAUAAUCCUUUUCCUCACAUGAGGAAAAGCUGAAAGACGGCAUCACGCUGUCACUUACAGAUGGGCCCGCGGCGCAUUAGCUAGUUGGUGAGGUAACGGCUCACCAAGGCGACGAUGCGUAGCCGACCUGAGAGGGUGAUCGGCCACACUGGGACUGAGACACGGCCCAGACUCCUACGGGAGGCAGCAGUAGGGAAUCUUCCGCAAUGGACGAAAGUCUGACGGAGCAACGCCGCGUGAGCGAUGAAGGCCUUCGGGUCGUAAAGCUCUGUUGUUAGGGAAGAACAAGUAUCGGAGUAACUGCCGGUACCUUGACGGUACCUAACCAGAAAGCCACGGCUAACUACGUGCCAGCAGCCGCAGUAAAAC
rnacentral:rRNA from 1 species